CAUUAAACACUAGAACUGGUUGCCAAGGGAGUUUAUGGAAUCUUCCUCCCUGGAGAGAAAAAAAAAUCCUGAGGAGCUAGAUAUACAUCUGCCUAAGAGGUUUAGGUGAAGCUAUGCCUAGCACAAAUUGGGGCAUUUAUACUGGGAAAAAAAACAAAUGAACUCUUAAGUUAUCAGCAUUAGUAUCAUUUAAAGAACAAGGCUGAAAAAAGAGAUUAAUGGACAAAUUGAAAAACAGAGAGCACAGGCUCCAACUGAGCUCUAAAUUAGGAGAUGAAGAACUAUUCAGCUUAAACAGCCACAGAAGUAGAAGAAAAGCAAAUGGGCCCAAAUGUUAUGAGGUGUUCCAGUUCUUCUCAAUGGUCCCAACACAUGUAGCUCUGCACCCUCCCCCUGCCCCAAGGUAAUAGGUCUAUUUAUUGAGCUAAUUGUGCCUCUGGAUAAAACAUACAUGUGAGAAAUGGGAGGAAAACAGUAUAAAGACAAAAAUCUACAUGUAGUCUAGAACAAAGAGACAGAGAACACAUGGUAGGUGACAAUUUGAGAAACUUCAGCUAAUAAAAGAUUUAACUUACU
rnacentral:lncRNA from 1 species